rnacentral:lncRNA from 13 species
AUGUUAAGAGCUACCUGGAGCAUGCCUGAAUCUGUCUGCACAUGCCUACCCCAGUCUUUUCUGCAUGACAGAGGGCCAAGGAUCUUAAAUCAUAGCUGUUGGGAUAGGUCUAGAUUCCUCCAAGUUAGCCUAAAAGAGGGGUGUCAGUCAUCCUUCAGUACCAUGCUGAAAGGCCACUCUCCAAGGAGGGGACUGAAAAUGAGUACCUCCCUGUCUCUCUCACCCUUAGGAGCUUUUCACAUGGAGUCAGAAUAUGGUCUAAUGCAAGUGGGUAAAUUGAAGCACAUUCUUUCCAGGUGAAGAAGCCAAAAGCAAAUGAAGACAACUACAGGGAAGGUCACAAAGGCCGGGAGAGAUGAGGGCCUUCCAACCUAAGGAACCAUAAAUCUUCAGUUGUGAUCUGGCUAUUUCUCCAAGCAGCAAUCUAGCAGGGAAACCUCAAGGGGCCUGAGCCUGCGAUUCCUAGGCCCUAUGACAGUGAGUACAUUUUACAAAACUUGAGCGAGCUGUGGAUGGUCAAUGGCACUAAUACCUGGCCUCUUGGGAUGAAGCCAUGCUGCCCAUCAACAUCCUGGAGGGGCUCCUGCCUGGAAAGGGGUUCAAGCAGGGUUGCUCACAGCUGCAGACCCUCAGCUGGGAAAUAAUCAGAAUCUUCAGCCUUUUCCAAGCUGAGUCUUGGAAAAGGCAAUAUAGACUCACACUGCCAAGGAGGAUUAAAGAAAACUACUGGAGAGAUUCCUGCUAUAUGUGUGUGCCCUUCGCCUUGGCCUGGGGUCCCAUAUUCUGAAAUAGUACUAUAAUGAAGAAGGAGAAAGAGCACUGACUGUCAGUCAAGAGGCUGUCCUGGCUUCAGUGCUAACUCUCCUUUGGCCCAGGGAAAAUCCCUUAACCUCUCUGGGUCUCUGUUUUCUGCCAUAGAAAAUUGGGUACUGUCCUAGCUUCUCCAGAAAUGGGAGAAGAUCCCAACCAAUGCCCAAAGGCUUUGAUGAGACAUCAGACUCCAGCUGGCCAUAUCCCUGGCCACAGUGUAUGCCAUAUUAUUUACCUGUCUAUUCUGUUUACCUAUAUCCAUUUUCCAUGCAUACUUCUCCUCUGAUUACUACUCUCCCUCUGUUCUUUAUAACAACCCUUUAAGAUCUUCCCUUUCUGAGAAAUUUCUAUCUUCAUUCCACUGUGAGCAUCUUGAAGUCAGGACCCUCCCCUUAUUUUUAUUCAUAGUUCCUAGCUGACCCAGUAAAUGUCCACUGAAUAAGAGAUUGAUAUUUUCCACCCACAGACCAUGACUCCAAAAUAAUUUUUU